AUCGGCGUCACCCGGAGCAGCAGCCUUUCCCCAAGCCUCAAAGACUUGGAACUCAGCGGCCUUUUAAUCUGUUCCCAGGAUCAGCCGACCGAGAUUCCCUGCAACAGGUUCCUCCACCGAGUCCGGGAUUUAACCCUUUCCGCCUCCCUUCUCCACUUCUUGGGAAGAAAAUGCUCAUGAACCCAGAAGCCAGAGAGGGGAAGAACCAAGCUAGCUUUUCAACUCCCGCUCGGCGCACAGCUCAGGGGGAUCACUUUCCGCUCUAGUGAACUAAGCGUGCCCCAGGGGCUCUGGGAGGCACAAAUCUCAGUCCUCUCUCCGCAGCCUACUCACAACCGCGACCCGAAGCUGGGGUCCAAAGCUCCACCCCCCCACCUCCUCAGACGGAGACAGGUAGCCGCCAAUACUCGGACGACCCCGGGAGUCCCAGUUUUCCCAGUUCCACCAGCCCAAACCGAUCAAACUCGCCGCCGCCCUCGUGGCCGGACCUCGCCUUACCUGAAUGGUCUGGUUGGGGUCGCCGCCGGCCACCGGCCCCCCUACUAGCUUGCAGUAAAGGUCCUCGGUGGGCCUCGGGGGGCCCCGCGCUCCGGCCGGCGCCUCCUCGCCGCAGGUCGCAGAAGCGGAGAUGCGGGUGCCCUCGGCCAGGUUGAAGUAGGGUGGGUGCAGGCUGAAGCCUCCGCUGGCCCCCCCACCCCAGCUGCUUCUACUUUCGCCACCAGUCUCGGGUGCCCCAGUCACGCCGCGGAGAAACAGCAGCAGAGGCAGCAGCAGGGGCAGCGCGCAGAGAGACGCGUCCCCUCGGCCGUGCCCAGCUCCCCACCUCGCCAUCUUCUCAGGGGAGCGGGCGGCGGGCGCCGGGACGCGGGCUAAGAGGAGAAAGAGGAGGGGGUUCCUGGCUCAGAGAGGAACUGCAGCGCGCAUGGAGAGCAUCCAAGUAAUAAAUGAAUAAAUACGCAUAAUUGUGGAAGUAUGUAUAGAAGAAUUGCACAUGUUUAACAUAGAUUGGAUUACUUGCCGUCUAGGGAAAGAGAGGAAAGAAAUUUUGGAAUACAAAAUUUUGCAAAGGUAUAAAACCAGAGGAACAGAUGACCAAGGAGAUGUUGAACUACAACUAAAUGAGACCAGAAAAGGGAUGACCUCCCCUCUCUCAUUCCCUUUCCUCUGUUGUUGUGAACAGACAAGAUUAUUUGAGCUGCGGGGCAGAGGAAAAGGCAGCUGUUUUAUAUCCUACAAGAUUAUGGUAGAU
rnacentral:lncRNA from 1 species